GGAUGUAAAGGGUGGAGAGAGCAAGUUUCAGGGUCAUAUCUCCUUUUCCUCCUUUUCUUCCAUCUGAUAAUUGAAAGGAUGUCUGAGUGACAUGGACUGUAAGAAGCCGUCCUGCCUGUGCAAAUCAUUUUUAGCGGACUUAAAUGAUUUUUAUUCCCACAGCUAUGCUGUAAAGUAGAUAAGGAGUGUGUCCAUUUCAGAGAGGAUAUACUGAGGAACAAAUCAGACUUACUGACUUGUCCAGUAUUAUACAGUUUGUGGAUGUGCCAAGAAUUGAGUAUAUCUCCUCAGAGCCCUACUCUAGUUCUCUAGAGUAUCAUCCAGAUUAUUGGCUCAACUCUCCAUCAGCUGAAGCAGUGACUCACCAAACAGGAGUCAUUCUUUCAUGUAGCUGUUUUUCCAACAAUUUAUAAAUGCAACAAGCUGAACAUAGAUUUUUUAUUUUUAUUUAUUUUUUUUUAGUGUAAAAAGGAAAUACUUUAGUGUAGGUUGAUUUUAAAUUCCAUGGAGUCCACAAAACCUUCAGGCUACCACAGUUCUGAGGUAUUUAUAACAUGGUAUUGAUGUUGUGAAGUACUUCACCUCCACCCCUGUCUGCCUUGAGACAUCUUGUUUUCAGAGGGAAGCGAAUACAAGUUCAAGGUUACAGGAGAACAUUUCCCUGGCUUGUCAACUCCUCCUUUUUCAGCUUGACUGGAGAGCUUCUUCAUGCUCUCAUACUUUAUUCCUGUGAUCAGACUGCAGGAGGCAAAUGAGAGCCAAGAGGGUUGUGGCACUUGUGGUUUAUUUUAGAGGUGGUUUAUUCUCUGAAAAGAAAAAAAAAAAGAAAGAAAGAAACAGAAGAAAAAAAAAGAAAGAAAGAAAGAAACAUUCUGAAAUUUUCACAUGGAAUAGAGAUCUCGUCUGCGUCCUGCUGAGUUGCUUUAAAGAAAACUUUGGUCUCCAAAGACAUCAGUGAGAAAACUAACAAGAGCAUUUUGGGAGAAUAACUAUUUGAUGCCAGAAGGACACUCGGGAUGAAAUUCAGUUGUCUAAACUGGCAUCUAUGGUUCUUGCUAGACCUCGUGGGACGGUGUCUGAGAGAACUGCACCAGGCUGGCUGACAUUAUGUGGGACCUAGGGGAGCUCUGUGCCCUCAUGGCAAAACAGAUGGAUUACCAUUUUGCAAAACCUCUCUGAACAAGAGAUGUAUUAUUCCCAUUUUGGAUGAGAGAAGUCAACGUGGGAUUGCUUCCCUGAGUUACCUGGAAAGUGUGACGCUGAAAGAGUAUUUCACCUCAAAGCUCCUGCAGCCCUUUCCACAGGAACAUUUCUUCUACCUAAGCAUUAAUUGUUUUCCUAAUCCCACUCUCCCUCCUAAUCCCAUUCUCCCCCAAAGGAGAAUAGCUAAAUGUAAAAGAAAGCAAGGUAAAACAGUUACAGGUGUCUAGAACGGCUCAGUACUUGUGCUGUAUUUGCCUGUAUAGUGCUCCUUCUGUCUUGCCCAUUUAGGCAAACGUUGUCUCUUUGUAUGCUCCCACACUUUGUGUUUAAUGAUACUGCCCUUAUGUCUUCUACCUCUGAUACAAGAUCCUGAAAAAAAAAAAAAAAAGAAAAAAAAGUAUUUUUCAACUUGAAUGGAAUUCUUUUGUCCAGUCUAAAGUUGCGCUUCACUCCUCAGUGUUCCUUGCCUGCCAAAGGAAAAUUAAAAAAAUAAAUAAAAAAGAAAUUUAAAAGUAUGUUUUCAUUUGCAAACAUUUAAGACUAAUGUAAGGCUACUCACUUUGGAA